GACGUAGGGCGCGAGCGUUGUCCGGAUUUAUUGGGCGUAAAGAGCUCGUAGGCGGCUUGUCGCGUCGACUGUGAAAUCCCGCGGCUCAACUGCGGGUCUGCAGUCGAUACGGGCAGGCUAGAGUUCGGUAGGGGAGACUGGAAUUCCUGGUGUAGCGGUGAAAUGCGCAGAUAUCAGGAGGAACACCGGUGGCGAAGGCGGGUCUCUGGGCCGAAACUGACGCUGAGGCGCGAAAGCGUGGGGAGCAAACAGG
rnacentral:rRNA from 1 species